rnacentral:rRNA from 1 species
CCUACGGGUGGCUGCAGUCGUGAAUCUUCCGCAAUGGACGAAAGUCUGACGGAGCGACACCGCGUGCAGGAUGAAGGCCUUCGGGUUGUAAACUGCUGUCAGGUUCUAGGAACGGCUUCAUGUGAACAGCAUGAAGAUUGACCAAGACCAAAGGAAGCAACGGCUAACUCUGUGCCAGCAGCCGCGGUAAGACAGAGGUUGCAAACGUUGUUCGGAAUUACUGGGCAUAAAGAGCACGUAGGUGGUCGACUAAGUCAGAUGUGAAAUGCUCGGGCUCAACCCGAGAACUGCAUCUGAUACUGGUUGGCUAGAGAUCGGUAGGGGUGAGUGGAACUCUAGGUGGAGCGGUGAAAUGCGUAGAUAUCUGGAGGAACACCGGUGGCGAAAGCGGCUCACUGGACCGAUACUGACACUGAGGUGCGAAAGCUAGGGUAGCAAACGGGAUUAGAUACCCUUGUAGUC